UAAUCAACGAGAGUGUCAACCUG
rnacentral:miRNA from 1 species